GUCCUUCAGUAACUUUUUAUGACUUUCUUCAUAUAUAUUUGCACAAUUUUCAUUAUAUUUAUUCCUAGAUAUCUUAUAUUUUAAUUACUAUAGCUAAUUAGAUUAUCCAUUUUUAUAUUUCAAACUUUAUAGGAAAUUUUAUAUAUAUUUAUAUGUAACAGAGAUAUGCAUGCAGUGGCAUACUGAUAAAUGCCUAACUGCGGACUUUCUGGAGGAAAUUUUUUUCUUAAACUCUGAUUUUUAGAGUUUGCUGAUUUUUCACUGUGUAAAUAUUUUUUCAAUGGCUAAUUUCAAGAUGUCAGCACUGAU
rnacentral:lncRNA from 1 species